rnacentral:rRNA from 1 species
GGAUUAGAUACCCUGGUAGUCCACGCCGUAAACGAUGUCUACUAGCCGUUGGAGUCCUAGAGGCUUUAGUGGCGCAGCUAACGCACUAAGUAGACCGCCUGGGGAGUACGGUCGCAAGAUUAAAACUCAAAUGAAUUGACGGGGGCCCGCACAAGCGGUGGAGCAUGUGGUUUAAUUCGACGCAACGCGAAGAACCUUACCAGGUCUUGACAUCCAGAGGACUUUCCAGAGAUGGAUUGGUGCCUUCGGGAGCUCUGAGACAGGUGCUGCAUGGCUGUCGUCAGCUCGUGCCG